AUCCACAUGCAGCUUCUGAAGACAUCUGAGGCUGUGCAACAAAGGGCAGCCUAAAACAAAGGCGAGAUUACAACCAAAAAGGAGCCCAACCAGCCUGAGUACAUCAGCAGCUCCCAAUGACUCACAGAGGAGGAGGGAUGAAAAGGACUUGUUAAGACCCACAUGCAGAAUAUGAGCUUCAGCCGACCCUCCCUGGUUCCUGCUGGUGCUGCCCUAAUCUGGGUGAAGAGGAGAAAAUGUCUCUCCAGGCUCACACUAUGCAUAUGGAGAGUGGAAGAGGUCCAUGUGGGGAUGGGAGUAAUCCUGACAGGGGUAUGAACACUGGGGCUUCUUGACCAGGCUGUAGCCAUUUACCUUGCAGAGCCAGUGUGUGCUCUGCUGCCCAGCAGAGCAGUGGGGACUAAAGCAAUUAGAAGCAGUGGUACAUGGCUAAGAUGGAGGAGGAAAGGGCAGCACACGUGACUUUAUGGGCAGGUGUGAGGUCCCCAUCCCUGGCAGCAGCACGCAGCACAGCAGGGAAAACCCUUCCCCAGAUCCUGGCAUCCCUUCUUCCUCAUAGUGCUGCUACAAACAGCACAGCAGUGACUCACCCAGGGAGCAGGGCUGAGCUGGCUCUGCUCACCCUGUCCCUUGACCCCGUGUUCCUGCCAGUGAUGCAUGUUUUUCCAUACAGGUCCCACACAGUGGCUGUGAGCACCCCAGAGGGGAUUUUUAAAUGGACAUGGCCAAAGGAUUGCAGCCUGGGAGCAAAUCAAAGCAAUCCUUAAGGGAUAGAGGAGCCAUUCCCACAGCGACCUGUGCUGUGAGGCACGAACCUGCCUGCAGAAAGCACACAAUGCAAGGCCAGCUCUUGGCACGGCAUGGUUCCUGGUGUGCUGGCCAGACAUCUCUGCGUGGGGACAUCCCUGCUACCUGCUGGCAGAUUGCAGCCUGUGCCCACCAAAAGGAAGGCCCACCUGAUGCCACUCGUUUGCUGGGAAGAUGGUGCUCUGACUUCCCUUCAGGCUUUCUGGAAGAUGCCAGAGAGGACCGUUAGCACAGCAGGAUACUUCCUAGCAGACCCUACACCAUAUCUGUGCUCAGUAAAUACGUCUGCUUGUAUCCCAUCCAUUUCCCUGACACCCAAGACCUGCCACUGCUCACCCCCACAUCAUGUGCCCUUUGGGUCAAGUUGACUGGGAAUGCACCCAACCCACCUACAUUUGUGUUUGUGCAAAGGUUGUUUUGUCUCUGGCAGGUCCUGAUUCUUUUUCCAUGGUGGUUUUGCACUGCAUUGCAUUGCGUUGCCAUCAUCCUUCCAAGAAAAGCUCUCCAAGUACCUUCUGCAGGUGUCAUAGCACCAUUUCAUAAAUGUCUUUGGGGACAGAUUUGCAAUGCAUUAAGUACAGCUGUCAGCAAGAUGUCCCCACCAUUUUAACGCUAGAGCUGGGUCAGAGCCACCUCCCAGGGAACAGAUGACCUGAAAGGUGUCCUCAAUCUAUCAGAUCCUCCAAAUUAAGCCCUGCAAAAUGAGACCAGUAACGAGGCCAAAGAAGGGACGCAAUGUUGUGCAAAUACUGCAGGCUUAUCUGCUUAUCUGGAUUAUGCAACAGGCCUAGAAGUGCUUCUAUCCUAAGAACUUUUAAAAUGGUCUUCUGAGCUCUCAGGAGGUGUUGCAACACAGUGGCUCACUGCACUCCAAGGUGUGAGGCAUGUUCUGAGGAAAUUCUUGACUUACCUGUUGGCUUCCAGGCAAACUCAGUCAGUGUGUGCUACCCAGCACUUGCUCAUAGCUCAACGUAUGACUUUCCUGCUUCCAGAGAAGCCAGGGAGGAAGCAGAGAUGGUGCCUUGCAGAAAGCGUAAGGGCACAGCCAUGUUGCUGUGCUCUGCUUGUGGCGGAUGGGAGCCAGGAUAAGGCCACAAAGCCAUUCAGCUCUCUGAACUCCUACACUGCUUUUCUAACUUGACCCUGACAGCAGGAACUGAGCAGGACAGCUGUGCCAGGAUGAGUGGAAUCAGGACCCGUAAGCUCCGAAGCGUUAGGGUCAGCAAAGCCAUUUAUGUCAUACGGGAGGGAUGACAAAGGCAGUGACCUACAUGCAGGUCUGUCUGGUUGCACCACAGACAGGGAAAAGGCCACAGUGCAAGAAAUCCUCCUGUGAUGGAAGUGAAGGUGAGCACUACCCUGGGAGCAGAGCUCUUCUCUGGAGAUGAGUUCCCCUAUGCUGAGCUGGAGAGCUUGACUUCCUCAUCUCCUGUCUGGUUUCCAUAUGAUGCUCGAGGUAUGGAUGGCCCCAUACCAAUCUCAGCUCCACCAUACUGGUGAUUUGAGGUGUUUCUCUCAGAGAUCAUAGGUAAUUCAACAGAAAUAUACAGCCAUGACCAGGAGUUAGAGGGUCACAUACCUCUAAUUGGGCUCUGAGAGCCAGGCCAGGUCUUUAUUUCUCACACUAUAUCCAAUGCUCUCUGACUUGGUGGUGAGACCAGUAGAGAUGUUCAGAUGUGCAUUCUCUGUGCUACCCGGGGAGUUUGGGAGCACUCAGAUUUGGGGCAGAGCCCGUUCCCACUGCUCUGCAGGGAGCAGGCAUCUCCACCAGGCUUUUCCAGCAGCAGACACACCAGCAAAGUGCAUCCCACACUGCUGGAGCUGCAAGCAGCAGCACUGCUAUCGGUUGCCUCGUUACUUCCAGUAGAUCCCUGGGCUGGGUGCUCACUGUGUGCUUGCAAGGCUCAGUGUCUAGUGCAUAAGCCCUGGUUAUUCUUGUCCUCCUGGUUUUCUCCCAUUCCCUGCCCUAAUUUCUCCUCUCUGGAGCAGGCUUGCCUCUCCUGAACCCUCAAGCUAAAACUCUUCAUGUCCCCUUCCAACAUUCUUCUUCCCCGGAAGAGCUGCAGACAUACGGACUCCCAUGGGAGCAGAGUCCUCUUGUCCCAUGCACACACUGGAUUAUCUCCCAGCAGAUGCACAGGGGCAGCGAUGGGGACCUGCAGCCCCUUCCCAGUUUGCCUGGCUCUAACUGACAUAUCUCUGGGAGCUCAAACAGAACUCAAAUUGCACAAAUCCCUCUGAAAUACACGCUUGGCACUGGAAGCUCUGAUCGUCCCCGAGCAUAAGCUAAAUAGGAUUUUCUUCAAGUUUACCUUAAUACAAAGACCAGCUGCAUCCUGUCAGGCUGGAGGAGAUCGGCUUUGCGAGCGGAGGAGAAAAGAGUGAGAAAGAAGCAAAUUAAAGUAUUCCUGAGAGGGGAGAGGAUGUGUGAAUCCCUGAUGUGAAAUGGCCUGAAAUGAAAUCGCUGCAACAAGCAGCCUCCACAGAGUGCUUCUAGACUUGUGCUGUUGCCUUUCAUCGACCAAUUUAUUUCACCAAAGGCAAAAAUGCACGUCUGAGUGGACAGGACUCUUUGGCAGGAAUGGUACUGCUCUGUAAGGAGAUGGGAAGGAAAUGGAAGGUGAGAAUUGUCUGGAGGAGCUGCAAGAGUUAUGGGAUUUUUGAUGUAUGGGUUAUUCUCUUUUGAGUACAUUACACAGGAAUUUUAUUAUUGUUUGUUUCCACCAGAAAACAAAUCCAGGAAGGAAUUCUUAGAGGACACUUCGACAUUUUGGUUUCCACAAAGUCUGAAUACCCAUUUUUUUUCAGUUUUUGCCUCUCCUGUCAUACCCAGGAAAGCAACCUACGUUGCUUUUCCUUAAGCACAUCAGGAUGUGAGCCUUGAGUACAUCAUCUCAGCUCCACCAGCUGUGAAAUGAAUGGAGAGCACAGGUGGGUGCAGAGUGCAUCCAGAGGGGAGGAAUCAGUAUUUAAACAGAUGAUGUGCCUGGGAAGCUGAAGUGGGAUUUGCUAAAAUGCCACCCUAGUGGCAGGGAGAACUGGGAUUGCUCUCCUUCCAACAGAAAGUGCUCCAUGAGCAGAGGUGCUUCUCUAGCUCUUCUCAGCAGGGUUGGUGCCCAGGUGCAAUACUUGACGUGGUGUCCUUGGUAAGCAGCAUUGCCCUGGGCUUUGGCUGUGUGGGAGGAAUGGAAGCAGCUCAGCACUGAAAGCAGCCCGGUGCUGAGGAGCCCAAGCACAGAUACAGGCUGGGCAGAGAAUGUCUUGAGAGCAGCCCUGAGGAGAAGGAUUUGGGGGUGUUGGUUAAUGAAAGACUCAGUGUGAGCCAGCAGUGUGCGCUUGCAGCCCAGAAGGCCAACCAUAUCCUGGGCUGCAUCAAGAGGUUGUGUUUGCUCCAUCUCUGGAAACAUUCAAAACCAGGCUGGAUGGGGCUGUGAGCAACCUGUGCUAGAGGGAGGUAUCUCUACCUAUAGCACAGGGUUGGAACUGGGAGAUCUUAAAGGUCCCUUCCAACUCAAACCAUUCUAUGAUGCUAUGAAGGAGCCUGCAGUCCCUCCUUGUGGGAUCAGGACUGGGGGCCACUCGCUGCCCCUCUACCUGUGCACACAUGGCUGAGAUGCUCACAGCAGGCUGUGGGGAUGCCCCAGGCUCAUGGUGUCCCCUCCUGCUCCCCCCAGCUGGUAGGUGCAGGUAAACAGGAGGGAGAUUAUCUUUAGACAGGAGGGAUAAAGAUACUGAGCGCAGAUUAACCGGGCAGGCCCAGGAGCAGGUAAUCUGCCCGUGCUCUGCAGCUUGCACAGCUCUGGCCAAGUGGGGGAUAACUGCAGUAUCUGCCAGAGCUGAGGCCUGGCGGUGCAUUGACCUCUGGGUGAGUUCUCAUGGGAGGGCUGAGCUUUCUGCACACCUGCAUGUGGCACCUGGACCUGAGCAGGAUGGGAUGCCUUGCAGUGCUCCUCAGCCCUGGACUUGCUGGAUUUCAGGGCGGCUGUUUGUGCAGUCCUUUGUCCCCACUGCAUCUCCCAAUGGGGCCUUUGCUGGCUGGCCCUAAAAACCUCUUUCUCUCUAAUCAACACAUUGCAUAAUUACUACAUUUCUUACUCAAUUACUGUUGUUUGCACGUUCUUUCAGCAAACAGCUCCAAGUGUUUGGAUCCCCUGCCCAAGUCCAGUUCCUUUCCCAAGCUUUUCUCACGUUGGGCUGCCAGGCUGCUCCACGCCAGUGGGUCCUGUGAGCACUGCAGCAGAGCCGAAAGCACAACGAAUGCCAUGCAGAGACUUUGCUGCUUGUGAACUGCUGCUCCCAGGCCUCACUUGGUUUUCCUUUCCUAUCCAGGCAAACAGCCAAGACUUGGCAGUGGAUGGCAACAGCAGUAAGUCAUGGGCAGCUGUGGGCACUAUGGGCUUCUCUCUGCUGCCUUGAGCAGAGGAGCACUGCACAGCCAAUGUUUGGCUUAACUGCUUGACCUGGCUUCUGGGUUGUGAAUCUGCUGGGUAGUGAUGUGUUAGUGCUCAGGAUGGUGCAACCCCCAGACUGAUGGAACGAAGGGGAAGUUGCUGGAAGAAAGGCUCUUGGCUGGUAGAGCUGCUCUUCUUAUUGUUGCGUGGGUGUGGAUAAGAGCUGUGAAGAGCACUGCAGGUGGAUAAGGGCAAUGCAGGUUCCUUCAGGGUUGCUAAAUGCUGUGACUGUCCUGCGGGCAAAAGGAAAGUGCAUCAACCUCAAACAAGCAAACUGAACAGAGAAGAUGGGAGUUCUGCAGGAACACAAGUGGGUUUUCUUUAUGACCGCUGCCUGCCUGGCAGGUUGCUGUCUGAUGAUAAAACCAAGAAGUACAUUCAAACAUGGAGUACUCCGAGAUGCCAUAAACUGCAAACCUGAGGUUUAAAAUACGUUGCAAGAAUCAAUUUGCAACUUUACUGUAGGGCAGCCAUGCCUAUCUUGUGGCUUUGCAAGUUUGCUCUGCCAUGACAGAUAUCCCGAAACAGAUCUACUAAAUGUGGUGACAAAAAAAAUAAGAUUUUGACUAUUUUUGACUCGUUUGCUGACUCAACACAGCUACCGAGGUGGGCGCCAGAUUACAUUCUUGCACAUACAAAAGCAAUGUAGUUGUGACCUAAAUUCUGAUUGCACAGCCUCUCUUUUUGGGGCUGACUCAGAACCUACCUUUUUUGAUUUGCUGUUUGUGAUUUGCCUUUACUCCUUAGCUUAUGCGGUGCACACGUCUGACUUGGGCUUGGAAAAUGCCCUUUGGCUUUGAAACGUGGUAGCCUUCAUUUUUAGGUGCUCAGCUGUUCUUUUUUUUGAGGAGGGCAUGAGAAGCCAAGGCAGUAAGACUUCUUCCAGUCACUUUCGCAGAUCCUGGUCUGUGUGAGUAAUGGCAUCUCAGCAUAGCAGAAGGCAGUCUAGGUAAAUCCAUCUGCGACUAUGUCAUAAACAUCCCCGGUCAUCCAGACACUGUGGGGAAAGGUUCUUGACUCAUCAGCCUUCCUAGACACUGGGAAUAGAUUUGUAAGGGUUUGAGAAAACAGAAGAAAGGCCAAAUCAUUCAUAUUUUGGAGGUGGGAUGUGAAGCUUCCAGGGCAACUCUGUCCUUGGAGAGAUGGAAGGGUGGGUCUGAUUUUUUUGGUGUGAAUCUGGGGGUGAGGGAAGGUGUGGGCACUGAGUCAGAUAUCUAGGGCGUUAUCAGAUAUUCAGGUCCUGUGAAUGGAAGGGAUGAUUCCUCAGAAAGGCUCUGUAAAUUUUUCUUGUUCUCUCUUCUUGAAAGGGAGAAGCCACGGAAGCAUCGUCCACACGCACAGCCCAGUGCAGCCAAAUGGGCAAACGGCGUGUCAGCAUUUGCAGCUCAUCAGCAAGGAGUUCUGGCUGCUCCCCUGGGUAUGACGCCCCCUCCAUCUCCACUCUCCUCAGAAGCAGCCAGCCCAAGCGGAAUCAUUCUGCCCUUUCACUCAGCAGCAGCACUGGCUUUUGCAAAUUAAGGGCCAGAACAGAGAGGUGAUGAGACAAAAACUCAGCCCAGCUUUCAGACAUAGUUGCUACCCACCGCCUUAAGGGCAGAGAUCCGUACCCUGUGUGUGUGCUGCUGUUGGGACAUGGAGGCAGAGACAGUUCAUUCUGCUUUUUUUUUUCCAUUGUGCAUGGGUACACAACGUGGCUCUCAGCCUCCCCUACAAUAAUGCUUUGUUUCCCUCAACCAACACCACUCUGUCAGCGAUGUAAAUAAUUUUAGCACAUCCAAACAGGAAGUGGCUGAGUGUUUGGGUGUCUGAAUCAACAUCCUGGAGGCUGGGCCUUUGCCACCAGUGCAAUAACUAAAUGCAUGAGUCGCCUAUGGAUGGAAGCGCAGGUCUUGGAAAUGGCAGAGCCAGUAAAACUCAGUGCCAGAAUGUGACCGUUGCCAAAUAA